rnacentral:lncRNA from 1 species
GUAUCUUUCCUUUUAUCUCAGAAAAGAUCUGACUCAGGUUCAGCAAGUAAGUGCUCAGCUCCACCUGCUUCUUCUGCCUUUUCCUGCAUCCUGACCACUUCAUUUAAAGCCCAUGAUUCCCAGCAGGUGGAUGUGCUCUAUAUGUGGUAAUUGAAAAGAAUUUUACUUGGAGAAAAGAAGAAACAAAGGGAAAAAUUUCAAAAGCAUGACAGGAAAAAGAAGUCUUUAAAAUUAAGAAUAGAGUGCUAAGCUGAGAAGAAAUAAUGUUGAGUUGAAGCACAAGGAGGAGGUGAAUUGUAGCAAGGGCAAUAUGAUAUAAAUAUGAUAUAAAUAACAAAUUAUAAGGGAUGGAAAGUGCCAUGUGAAAAAAAAAAAAAGGAAAAAAUAAAGAAAAAAUAUUUUAUGCAUAAAGGAAGCAGAAAAUAAGAAAACAAAGGGAGAAUCAAAUUACAGCUUGCAGUCUGCCUCCUUUUGUGCCCCAUUAAAAUUGCCAGAGAAGUCAGCAGAGAAUUUCAGAAAACUCUCUUUGGAAACUGAAUGGAAGGAUGAGCAGAAGCCCAUGCUGUC